CACAAGGUAAAGGCGGAGAAACACUUCAGAGGAGCUCGGCUAAAGCGGGCCCGGAGGCCUAGGGGAACCGGGAGCCCGUUCCAGUGACCGGCAGCAUUCCAGGUAACAGGUACUCCAAUGACCAGACACUGGGGCUGAGGAUAUCCAUUCACAGCUGAACUCUGCCAACCACUGGAUACAUGGCAUGAGUUUUCAAAAUGUCUAAAACACUAAAGAAGCAAGCUCCUAAAAACCAUGAAAGUUGUUAUUGCCCCUGUUUUUAUAGGACCCAGCACCCUUUGCAGAACAUUCAAAUUCCUUUGGGAAACCAGAGGAAGGUUCCAGCUCUCUCUGGCUGUGCCAACCCAAGAAACAUGGUCCCAAUUCUCCUUAUUCCUUCAUCUCUUUGCUACACUGGGCACUGUGAUGAUGAUGGCUUCCUUUCAGGCCCUCCCUCCAGGUGUUCUCCAAGGGCUCUUCCUGCUACCAACUCUGUGCAGUAGCCCACCAGACUUACUCAGCAAUGCUCCCCU